UUAACUUUUGAGUUCCUCCGUCAGCGGCAGCGACUUGCAGAUCCGCCUUUUACCGAUUAGGUUCGACCACAAGCAGACCGUUCUGUCCCAGCCGACCGGACGGCCUCCCUUGCCUCCACCCUGGUCAGUUGUGCCCCCGCCAGAGGAUCCCGAGCUGCACCUGUCCCGUCCAACCUUGACGGGCGGACCCUCUCACCGGACAGCGACGUCGGACAGAAGCGGCGCCUAGCCCGGACACUCCACCCCGGCUGCUACAAGUCACCCUCCAAACCCGUGCCUGCAAUUAACCCAGGCCCUCCAGACGGUGACCUGCCUUGCCGUGGCCCUCAGGAGAAGACCUGGUUCCGCCCGCUGCCAUCCGUCCGACCAUCACGUCCUGCUGCGAGUCAACCACCUCCGCAGGUGUCCGGACCGUUGCUGCUGCCAGCUGACCAGCCACCUCUGAGGCAUUCGUUCCAGCUGCCUGCCGCCGCCCACAGCUACGACCCCGCUCAAGAGCGCCCUUUCUGCAACCCCUUCCCGAAAAACCAAGACUGUAUUCCCAAAAAAUUAAAUCAAAUCUCAAAUAUUUAGAAGUGUACAAUUUAUAGGGAAUAUAACCAAACCCACAGCAGUAACUUAUUUUGUUUAAUUCCUUUUAUUUCCUGAAAAUAGUCGAGUUACAAAUUGGAAGUUUUCUAAAAAAAAAAUCAGUACUUUAUUUAACAAAAGCCUCUUGCCUGCAAUCUUAUAAAAUAGGAAUAAAUUAAUUCUAAAUUUUUCCUAACCAGCAUAAUUAAUAAUUGUUGGGGGAAAAAUGACAAUUUUGAUGAAAU